CAGCCGCCGCGGGAAUACGUAGGUGGCAAGCGUUGCCCGGAAUUAUUGGGCGUAAAGGGCUCGCAGGCGGUUUCUUAAGUCUGAUGUGAUAGCCCCCGGCUCAACCGGGGAGGAUCAUUGGAAACUGGGAAACUUAAGUGCAGAAGAGGAGAGUGGAAUUCCACGUGUAGCGGUGAAAUGCGUAGAGAUGUGGAGGAACACCAGUGGCGAAGGCGACUCUCUGGUCUGUAACUGACGCUGAGGAGCGAAAGCGUGGGGAGCGAACAGGAUUAGAUACCCCGGUAGUCCCUGUCUCUUAUAC
rnacentral:rRNA from 1 species